rnacentral:tRNA from 1 species
UGCAGUGUGGCUCAGUGGAAAAGAGCCUGGGCUUAAGAGUCAGAAGUCAUGGGUUCAAAUCCCGGCUCUGCCA